rnacentral:SRP_RNA from 1 species
GCUGGGUGUGGUGGCAUGCACGCCUGUAGUCCCUGCUACUUGGGAGGCUGAGGUAGGAGGCUCACGUGAGCCUGGGAGGUCAAGGCUGCAGUGAGCCCAGAUUGCACCACUGCACUCUAGCCUAGGCCACAAAGUGAGACCCUGUCUCAA